rnacentral:rRNA from 1 species
GAUGAACGCUGGCGGCGUGCCUAAUACAUGCAAGUCGAGCGAACGGACGAGAAGCUUGCUUCUCUGAUGUUAGCGGCGGACGGGUGAGUAACACGUGGAUAACCUACCUAUCAGACUGGGAUAACUUCGGGAAACCGGAGCUAAUACCGGAUAAUAUUAUGAACCGCAUGGUUCAAAAGUGAAAGACGGUCUUGCUGUCACUUAUAGAUGGAUCCGCGCUGCAUUAGCUAGUUGGUAAGGUAACGGCUUACCAAGGCAACGAUGCAUAGCCGACCUGAGAGGGUGAUCGGCCACACUGGAACUGAGACACGGUCCAGACUCCUACGGGAGGCAGCAGUAGGGAAUCUUCCGCAAUGGGCGAAAGCCUGACGGAGCAACGCCGCGUGAGUGAUGAAGGUCGUCGGAUCGUAAAACUCUGUUAUUAGGGAAGAACAUAUGUGUAAGUAACUGUGCACAUCGUGACGGGACCUAAUCAGAAAGCCACGGCUAACUACG